CGCUCUAUAAAAAAAUCAAAAUUUGUAGAAAUUUCACUUUAAAAAGCAAAAAGUAAAAGCAAAGUUGCCUAAUCAUCUUUAUUGGCCAUUUUUGGUACCAAAGGCGAUGAAAUUUACACUGAUAUCAUCAGAUAGAGACCAUCGUCCGGUCAAGGGGUUGUAAACAAAUCCAGCCAUUUCUUUAACAUUGAUAGAAGCACGUUGUAGGAUCAAUACUAACUCUUCAGGAGUAAGGAAACUUGACCAUUGAUGCGUGCCUAUGGGAAGCCAAUGGAGAAGGUACUCUGCUGCAACAAUGGCAGUUGCAUAUGAUCUCAUAGAUCGGUUAAUUGUUGAAAUCACAGUAGCACCCCCAGGAUGAGUCAAUGCUGACAGAGACUUGCAGAA
rnacentral:misc_RNA from 1 species